AGGGCUUUUAGCCCUAGUGGCGGACGGGUGAGUAACACGUGAGAAUCUGCCCUUAGGAGGAGGAUAACAGCUGGAAACGGUUGCUAAUACUCCAUAUGCCGAGAGGUGAAAGGAAUUUCUGCCUAAGGAGGAGCUCGCGUCUGAUUAGCUAGUUGGUAGGGUAAAGGCCUACCAAGGCGACGAUCAGUAGCUGGUUUGAGAGGAUGAUCAGCCACACUGGGACUGAGACACGGCCCAGACUCC
rnacentral:rRNA from 1 species